UACGUGGGUGGCAAGCGUUGUCCGGAUUUACUGGGCGUAAAGAGCGCGCAGGCGGUCGUUCAAGUCGCGUGUGAAAGCCCCCGGCUCAACUGGGGAGGGUCACGCGAUACUGAUCGACUCGAAGGCAGGAGAGGGUAGUGGAAUUCCUGGUGUAGCGGUGAAAUGCGCAGAUAUCAGGAGGAACACCGAUGGCGAAGGCAGGUCUCUGGGCCACUACUGACGCUGAGAAGCGAAAGCGUGGGGAGCGAACAGG
rnacentral:rRNA from 1 species